GCCGAGUAUGGUGGUGCAUGCCUGCAGUCUCAGCUACUCAGGAGGCUGAGACAGGAGGAUCACUUGAACCUAGGAGGUCAAGGCUGCAGUGAGCCAUGAUGGUGCCACUGCACUCCAGCCUGGGUGAUAGGGUGAGACCCUGUCUCAA
rnacentral:SRP_RNA from 1 species